GGCUAUGAGGCUUUCCAAGGUUGCAUCAGGCAGCAGCAUGAGGUGGGGACAGCUCACAGCUUCCCCACCCUCCCCUGGCAGUCACCAGCUGGGGAUGUUCCUUUUUACAGAUGAUUUUCUGGGUGAAGAAGAAAAAUAGCGUUGGCAAGGAGCUCCAGGCAUGAAGGAGGCACAGAGCUGGUGAUGCCACCAUGCUAUCCUGGUGUUCCUACUGCAAGAAGCAAGAAAAGCCAACUGAACUCAAAUACUGCCCUGCCCAGCUGCAUAAAAGACUGUGAAUAUGUACAUAUGGCUAAUAGGAUUUCAAGCUUACUAAUCCUGUUGAACUCAUGCUGCCAUCUCUAACAUGAGUGUGUAAGCCCACUCCUAUGUUCAGCAGUGGAAAGUGCACAGAUCCUAUUUGACAUCUUAUUCUAAGCACAAUGGAGGUGCCACGUUACUAGCCCAAGCCAUUAUUAAUAGUAUUAUUAUUACUACUACUAAUAUAUAUAUAUUUUUUUUCCCAGAAAAGAUAGCACUACCAUUCUAAAGAGAAGGAUGGAGGAGGCAAGUCAGAAUCUGUCAAUACAUCCCACAUCUGGUCUGUGUCUGUUUGCCUUGGUUGUCCCCUAAAGUCCUGUGCUGGGACAGGGUGUUAUGGGCAGUGAUCUUGCCCUGUGCCUGACUGCUCGCCCUGCAGUAGGAGCUGGCAGCCUGGCUGAGAGCAUCCCUGUGUCAGCAUGGCCUGACCUGCCAGGCAGAUGGAGGUGUCAGCCGGAUCCAUGCUGCUCCAAAUCUCUUUUUGCUGCUCCUCUUCACAAAUUCCUUUUCAGCCACAGUUUCCAAAGCAAGGCAAACAGACCUUGCGCUGGGAUGUCUUCCAAUGCAAAGAUGAGAUGUUGCUUUUCUUUAACCAGUUUGUUUAAGAUAUAGAAGCCAGUUCCACAGAGGGCCAAGUUCCCUUCCCAUAAUAAAUUAUGGGCUGAUUUGGAAGACUGUUCGUGAAGCACUGUUGCAAAAAAACAUUAGCCCAGGGCACAAUUCUCUCUCCCAGCACUGCUACACCUUGAAAUGAUGGCAGCUCUACAAAUGUGCAGAUACUCCUUGAGGAUCCUGUGUUACACCCAAGCGGGCACAGUGACAGCGCCCACUUCAUGGUGCUUGAGCAUCUUCAAUGAAAGAGCCUCUAGCUAAAAGAGAAGCUGGAGGUGCUGCCAAGUUUUCGGAAUGCUUCUGUGCUGUGUAUCUCACAGAGGUUUGCUCCCAGCCUCACUGCAGAAUCCUGGAAUAUCUCACUGUGGUGCCAAGGAGUGAUUCUUCCUGGAAGGAAGGGCUAGAUGAAGUCAUACUCACCCCUGGCACUGCUCUGCUAAAGGAAGGUGCAAAUAACACAAACCUGUGCCAUAUGGCAUCACAUGGUACGGACCUGGGCAGCAAGAACACAGCCUUAAAACUGUGAGGUGCAGUACAGGGAAGAGAGAUGUUGGUCUUGCCUGUUCUCAGAUGAAGUAAGCUUUAAAUAUUGCUCAGCUGACAACAAUGAAGUGUCAAAAAGGUCCCGUCCUUCCCUUAUUUUUGAAUCUUUUCCCCUUCCCCUCCCAGGUGAAGAACUCCAAACUGCCAGCCUCCACGCCAUCUGCUCUUGUUUCUGGAUGUGCAGCACUUCAGGGAAAGUUAAGUUUAACAUCAUUUGCAGCAGAGUGUUUCUGAGGGGAAGAAAACAGUACUUCUGGCUAGAGACUGGUUCCUUUACAUAAAGGCAAAUAUCCUGGCCUCAUGUUGGCAGCAUCAUAGCUUGUUACUGGUGGGGUAACAGCACCCACAUUGCCUGCAGAGAAAAAGAUGCCCUUUCUCUGCCCCAGAGAAAAAGAGGACCAGCAAUUCCUGUUGUCCAAGAGCCAUAACAAAAGCACCUGCUUUUUUUGUCCCACGGAUAACCGGGGCUGAGAGGAUGUAUUUCUAUGAGUGUUUUUCAGGCCUGUUGCUGGCUUUGGCAGUGGGUUGCUGGAGCCUUGGCACUGGUUAUUGACACAAGCCCAGCACCUCUGAGGGCAGGAUUCAUCGUUCAUCCUGGGCCAAACUGCCCUGGCCUCCUGCUCUGGAGCUCGCGUUGGGCCAGGCCAACAAGUGUCCCCAACUCUUCAAAGUAGAACACUUUGUCCUAGUGAAUAAAAUACACACUGCUGCUGCUGCUCAACUAAAUUAGGAGCCCAAUUAUUUUAAUGGCUUUUUUUUUUUUUUUUUUUUUUUUUUUUUUUGGAACACCAAGAACUUGCAGAACAAUCAUCCGGGCCAGGACGUUUUUGUUUCCUAAGCAGAUUGUCAAUGCUAAUGACUUGCAACUUGUCAACAGGAACCAAAUUCCCAUGGCAAAUAAAGGGAGAAAUCAUGGCAUUUUGGCAUGUUUCACCAUGCUCAAAUCAAUCACCUCUGAAAAAUAGCAUUGUGGGAGAGAGACUGGUCAAAUAAGAUAGUUGGAAAAAUAGGAUUUUUUCCCUGUUUCCUUUCUCCUCUAGCCACAAUGUACAUAACUACCGCACUUGUAUCAAUUAUUUAGGGAAGAGGCUCAUACUCUCAUGUACAUAAGGUUUUGGGUCUCAGUUCCAGUGGACCAGUAAUUAGGCUUCUUUUUGUCAUAUAUUUAUGAUGGGUCUCUUGAGACCUCUUUAUGAUUUGGAAACAUUUGUAGUGGAAGAAAAGAUGGCCCCUAUGGCUUUUCGUCAUCCAUAUUUUUAUUUUUAGGACAAAAUGCAACAUAAUUAAAUACCAAAAUAUCAAUAUGAUAACAUUCAGAAAUACUCUUCUGCCAGUAACAUGUGCAUAACAUAAUAGUGCAGUAAUGCACUGGUAGAA